rnacentral:rRNA from 1 species
GAUGAACGCUAGCGGCAGGCUUAAUACAUGCAAGUUGAGGGGCAGCAUGAUAUACGCGAGUAUAUUGAUGGCGACCGGCGGACGGGUGAGUAAUAGGUAGGAGACCUACCUCAUACAGGGGGAUAGCAUAGAGAAAUCUGUGGUAAUACCCCAUGAGGUUAUAUGAAUAGAGGCAUAUAAUCAAAGCAUAAGCGAUUAUGCGGUAUGAGAGGGGCCUACUGACCAUUAGCUAGUUGGUGAGGUAAGGGCUCACCAAGGCGAAGAUGGUUAGGGGUUUUGAGAGAGAGAUCCCCCACAUUGGAACUGAGAUACGGUCCAGACUCCUACGGGAGGCAGCAGUAGGGAAUAUUGGGCAAUGGGCGGAAGCCUGACCCAGCCAUGCCGCGUGAAGGAAGACGGCCUUAUGGGUCGUAAACUUCUUUACUAUGCGACUAACUAGAUUUACGAGAUAAUUCUAUAGAAUGUAGCAUAGC